CCUACGGGACGCAGCAGUGAGGAAUAUUGGUCAAUGGGCGCAAGCCUGAACCAGUCAAGUCGCGUGAGGGAAGACGGCCCUACGGGUUGUAAACCUCUUUUGCCGGGGAGCAAGCCUGAGCACGUGUGCCCAGGCGGAGAGUACCCGGAGAAAAAGCAUCGGCUAACUCCGUGCCAGCAGCCGCGGUAAUAUGGAGGAUGCGAGCGUUAUCCGGAUUUAUUGGGUGUAAAGGGUGCGCAGGCGGGCUGUUAAGCCGGAUGUGAAAAUUCAGGGCUCAACCCUGG
rnacentral:rRNA from 1 species